AUGAACGCUAGCUACAGGCUUAACACAUGCAAGUCGAGGGGCAGCAUGAACUUAGCUUGCUAAGUUUGAUGGCGACCGGCGCACGGGUGAGUAACACGUAUCCAACCUGCCGAUGACUCGGGGAUAGCCUUUCGAAAGAAAGAUUAAUACCCGAUGGCAUAGUUCUUCCGCAUGGUAGAACUAUUAAAGAAUUUCGGUCAUCGAUGGGGAUGCGUUCCAUUAGGUUGUUGGCGGGGUAACGGCCCACCAAGCCUUCGAUGGAUAGGGGUUCUGAGAGGAAGGUCCCCCACAUUGGAACUGAGACACGGUCCAAACUCCUACGGGAGGCAGCAGUGAGGAAUAUUGGUCAAUGGACGAGAGUCUGAACCAGCCAAGUAGCGUGAAGGAUGACUGCCCUAUGGGUUGUAAACUUCUUUUAUACGGGAAUAAAGUGAGGCACGUGUGCCUUUUUGUAUGUACCGUAUGAAUAAGGAUCGGCUAACUCCGUGCCAGCAGCCGCGGUAAUACGGAGGAUCCGAGCGUUAUCCGGAUUUAUUGGGUUUAAAGGGAGCGUAGGCGGACGCUUAAGUCAGUUGUGAAAGUUUGCGGCUCAACCGUAAAAUUGCAGUUGAUACUGGGUGUCUUGAGUACAGUAGAGGCAGGCGGAAUUCGUGGUGUAGCGGUGAAAUGCUUAGAUAUCACGAAGAACUCCGAUUGCGAAGGCAGCCUGCUGGACUGUAACUGACGCUGAUGCUCGAAAGUGUGGGUAUCAAACAGGAUUAGAUACCCUGGUAGUCCACACUGUAAACGAUGGAUACUAGGUGUAGGCAUGCAAAUGUCUGUGCCGGCGCAAAUGCAAUAAGUAUCCCACCUGGGGAGUACGGCCGCAAGGUUGAAACUCAAAGGAAUUGACGGGGGCCCGCACAAGCAGUGGAGUAUGUGGUUUAAUUCGACGCAACGCGAAGAACCUUACCAGGUCUUGACAUUGAUCGCGAUCUGCAGAAAUGCGGAGUUCUUCUUCGGAAGACGAGAAAACAGGUGGUGCACGGCUGUCGUCAGCUCGUGUCGUGAGAUGUUGGGUUAAGUCCCGCAACGAGCGCAACCCUUGCUAUUAGUUGCUACGCAAGAGCACUCUAAUAGGACUGCCGUUGACAAAACGGAGGAAGGUGGGGACGACGUCAAAUCAUCAUGCCCCUUAUGACCUGGGCUACACACGUGCUACAAUGGACAGAGCAGAGGGAAGCGAAGCCGCGAGGUGGAGCGAAACCCAGAAAACUGUUCUCAGUUCGGACUGCAGUCUGCAACUCGACUGCACGAAGUUGGAAUCGCUAGUAAUCGCGAAUCAGCAUGUCGCGGUGAAUACGUUCUCGGGCCUUGUACACACCGCCCGUCAAACCAUGGGAGUUGGUAAUGCCCGAAGCCGGUGGCAUAACCCUUCGGGGAGUGAGCCGUCGAAGGCAGGACCGAUGACUGGGGUU
rnacentral:rRNA from 1 species